CUGACCUCGAAUCAGGUGGGACUACCCGC
rnacentral:rRNA from 1 species